ACUACGGGUGGCUGCAGUGAGGAAUAUUGGUCAAUGGGCGAGAGCCUGAACCAGCCAAGUCGCGUGAAGGAUGACGGCCCUACGGGUUGUAAACUUCUUUUGUCAGGGAGCAAUUGGGUCCACGCGUGGGCUUAGCGAGAGUACCUGAAGAAAAAGAAGCGGCGAACUCCGUGCCAGAAGCCGCGGUAAUACGGAGGAUGCGAGCGUUAUCCGGAUUUAUUGGGUUUAAAGGGUGCGUAGGCGUAAUAUCAAGUCAGCUGUAAAACUUCGGGGCUCAACCCCGUCGUGCCGUUGAAACUGCUGUUCUUGAGUGGGCGACAAGUAUGCGUAUUGCGUGUUGUAGCGGUGCACUUCAUAGAUAUCACGCAGAACUCCGAUUGCGAAGGCAGCAUACCGGCGCCCAACUGACGCUGCAGCACGAACGCGUGGGUAUCGAACAGGAUUAGCUACCCGUGUAGUC
rnacentral:rRNA from 1 species